UACGUAGGGUCCAAGCGUUAUCCGGAAUCACUGGGCGUAAAGCGUGCGUAGGUGGUUCGUUAAGUGAGAUGUUAAAACGUGUGGCUCAACCAUAUCGUUGUAUCUCAUACUGGCGAACUAGAGGAUGGCAGAGGCAAGUGGAAAUUUCUCGUGUAGCAGUGAAAUGCGUAGAUAUGAGAAGGAACACCAAUGGCGAAGGCAGCUUGCUGGGCCACCCCUGACACUGAGGUACGAAAGCGUGGGGAGCGAACAGG
rnacentral:rRNA from 1 species